GAGCCUUUGUCGAGUUUGCAGCAUUUGGUCUUGGUGGGUUGAGGAUCUCUUGUAUUUUGUGCGCUCUCUUCCUACUCCAGGACUGACCAGGAAGUUCUGCCAUCUUCUAGGGGUGUGAAAUUGGGAAGUAAUUCAAACUGUAUGUGCCUAGCAUUCCUUUUAUGUAACAUGAGGGGAAUAGAAGUAUCAAACCGAUGCAGUUCAGUGGAGAAUUAAAUGAGAUAGACACAAGUAAAAGGUGAUGGUCACAUGAAUGAGGAAAGAAUGACUCUUCAGCUCCUAGCAGCAGAACCUUAACUGAGUAUGACUUAGCAUCCUUCUUCUUGCCGUGUCAUCUCUCUUCUCAGGGCAGAAGAUAUUUACUAAUUAGCACAUUCUGCUACCACAUCUGUGGGAAAAGGUAGGAAGGAAGGAGGGAGGGUGGGAAGGAGGAAAGAAGAUCCACUCCUUAUACUGGAAAAAAGGAGCAAUAUACUUUUCCUCAAAAUGAGAAGUCAAGCCCAAAAGAAUUCUGUACAGACAACCUUAAAAUAACAUCUUUCAAGCCUUUCCACAUGAUUUAGUUGCUUCUUUAAAAAAAAUUAAUUUAUUUUUAUUUUGUAGAGAUGCAGUCUUACUGUGUUGCCCAGGAUGGUCUCAAACUCCUGGCUACAGGCUAUCCUCCUGCCUCUGUCUCCCAAAGUGCUGGGAUUGCAAAUGUGAGCCACCAGGCCCGGCCUAAUUGCUUCUUAACCACUUACUAUUCUUUGUUCACUACAGCGUAUACAUAACUGACUGUUUCUUUGGAGCUUCAUUUUGUAAUGAAGGCUCUGGUCACAUGUAAAACUUGUGUUAAAUAAAUUUGCCUCCUGUUCUCCUGUUAA